UACGAACCGUACGAACGUUAUUCGGAAUCACUGGGCUUAAAGCGUGUGUAGGCGGACGCCUAAGUGUCUUGUGAAAUCCCACGGCUCACCCGUGGAACUGCUGGGCAUACUGGGCGUCUUGGGCCAACUAGGGGCAGCCGGAACAAGCGGUGGAGCGGUGAAAUGCGUAGAUAUCGCUUGGAACGCCGAAGGUGAAAACAGGCUGCUGGGGUUGCGCCGACGCUGAGACACGAAAGCCAGGGGAGCAAACGGG
rnacentral:rRNA from 1 species